rnacentral:rRNA from 1 species
UACGUAGGGUGCGAGCGUUGCCCGGAUUUAUUGGGCGUAAAGGGCGCGUAGGCGGUCACGCACGUCCGUUGUGAAAUCGCUCGGCUCAACUGGGCGGGGUCAGCGGAUACGGCGUGGCUGGAGCAAGCUAGGGGGCAAUGGAAUUCCCGGUGUAGUGGUGGAAUGGCGUAGAUAUCGGGAGGAACCCCAGAGGCGAAGGCGGCGUCCUGGCUCGCAUCUGACGCUCAGACACGACAGCAUGGGGAGCGAACGGG